GGGGCCAUAUCACGUUGAAGCUCCGGUUCUGGUCAGAUCACCGAAAUCAAGCAACAUCGUGCCUGGUCGGUACCUAGAUGGAUGACCGCUUCAGAAUACCCGGUGCCGUAUG